rnacentral:rRNA from 1 species
CUACGGGCCGCUGCAGUGAGGAAUAUUGCACAAUGGGGGGAACCCUGAUGCAGCAACGCCGCUUGGAGGAUGACGCAUUUCGGUGUGUAAACUCCUUUUAUAUGUCAAGAAAAUGACGGUAGCAUAUGAAUAAGCACCGGCUAACUCCGUGCCAGCAGCCGCGGUAAUACGGAGGGUGCAAGCGUUACUCGGAAUCACUGGGCGUAAAGGACGCGUAGGCGGGUUGGAAAGUCAGGUGUGAAAUCCUACAGCUUAACUGUAGAACUGCACUUGAAACUUCUAAUCUAGAGUAUGGGAGGGGGAGAUGGAAUUCGUGGUGUAGGGGUAAAAUCCGUAGAUAUCACUAGGAAUACCUAAAGCGAAGGCGAUCUCCUGGAACAUUACUGACGCUAAGGCGUGAAAGCGUGGGGAGCAAACAGGAUUAGAUACCCCUGUAGUC